GGAGGGUACAGCUCAGUGGUAGAGCGUGUGCUCAGCAUGCACGAGGUCCUGGGUUCAAUCCCCAGCACUUCCA
rfam:Camelus ferus unplaced genomic scaffold scaffold1499, whole genome shotgun sequence.